UCUGCUAAAGGAGUUCUCCACUUUUAACAACACCUGAAGAGGGCCUCAGCCAGAGAACCCGUGGGCUGUAGGCAUAUUCGGAUUAUUACACUGGACAAAGGUUUCUUGGACUUUAUCCCUGCAACGGACUAUUUCACCAACGGACAUCUUUUCUGCGGAAAAUAAAAUGACAUAAAUCUUUGCCCUGAUUG